AAUCAGCGGCGAGGACUGGCAGGCCGCCGCGAGGCCCCCAGCCAAUCACGCGGCGCCAAACAAGGCGGCUGGGCAGGGUUUGUACAUGGCGAGGGAAAAGGCCGCGCGCGCCCUGAGGUCCCGCUUCUCGCUGCCCACGCCGCUGACACAACUACUUAACCAUGGAGAGUCCAGAGGCUGAACGCAACAGUCUGACGCCAAGGUCACGGUCACGAUCAAGGUCACGGUUGGAGUCGCCUUCUGAUUCUCCGUCCCGCCGGCGCGUCAAUUCACAGUCCCGGUCGCCCCCGCCCCGCAGACGGUCCUUCUCAAGCCCCCAGUUGUUGCCAUCACAAGACAUGUCUCGAUAUGUGGUUCUGGAAGAAAUUGUCGAUGAAAGGUCCCGCUCCCGCACUCCUCGCCGCCACCGGUCCCGCAGCGGCUCCCCAAGAAAUGGACAUGACAGUCGCCGGUCUCGCCGAUCACGCUCCCCUCGUUCAAGGUCUCCCAUGUCCAAUCGUCGCAGACACAUUGGUACCCGCGAUAACCCCGAGCCAUCGAAAUGUCUUGGUGUGUUCGGCCUCAGUGUAUACACCACCGAGAGACAGCUACACAGCAUCUUUGACAAAUUUGGACCACUAGAGAAGGUUCAAGUUGUACUGGAUUCCAAGACUGGGAAGUCAAGAGGAUUUGCUUUUGUAUACUUUGAGUCCCAAAAAGAUGCCUCUGAUGCCAAGGAUGAGUGCACAGGCAUGGAGAUUGAUGGCAGAAGGAUCAGAGUAGACUAUUCCAUCACCAAGCGUCCCCACACCCCCACCCCAGGCAUCUACAUGGGCAGACCCACCACGCGUGGAGGUCACGACCGAGGGUAUGGUGGGCGAGGUGGCGGAGGGUACAGAGGAGACAGGUACCGCUCUCCCUCACCUCGUUACAGACAGCGUUCCAGUGGAGGUCGCCGUGACUAUUAUGACCGUGGGUACGACCGUGGCGAUCGAAGUUACUAUCGUGGCGGCUAUGAUCGCUAUGACCGACCCCAACACUACGACCGUUACGACAGAUAUGAUCGCUCUUAUGACAAGUACGAUCGCUAUGAACGGUCCAGAUCUCGUUCAUAUUCUCCCCACGACCGGCAAUAGAAGCACAGAAAAUGGCGACCACGUAGACACUGCUCGUCUUCCCCAUCCCUUCCCGUGACGUCACGAUCCAGUUGCCAGAAACUUCUUUACAGCGACUAUACGGCUUCACCCCGAGGAGAUACAAGUAUUGAUGCUUGUGCUACAUCUUCUGUCAUCUUAGAGUAGACACCAAGAGCCUUGCUGGGCUGAAGGCCACCUCAUGCUGGUGGUCCUUCCUCAAAGGUUGUCCAGUGCAAAAAUUAUCUUGAACCAUUGGUCAAUGUGGGUAUUGGAAAUGUGUCAUUUUAAAAUAGAAACCAAUGCUGAUGGCCACCUCAUGCUGGUGGUCCUUCCUCAGGUUGUUUCAGUGCAAAAUUUACCAUGAACCAUUUGACAAUGUGGGUCUUGAAAAUGCGUUCGGCUCAGUUUGAGUAUAUCCUUAUUUAUUGUGAGAGCUUGGCUCAUUGUAAGUCACUCAGGCCAUUACAUGCCAUGCUAGUUUAUUAUUAUUAUCAUUAUCAUUAUUUCACUACACAUGGUAGCACUUAGGUGAGAUCAAACUACCGUAUGAUAUUUUCUGUGGCUAACGCCAUGUACAAGUGUUGUUGGUGGUAGCACUUAGAUGAGAUCAAACUACUGUAUGAUAUUUUCUGUGGCUAAUGCCAUGUACAAGUGUUGUGCUUCAAAUUAUUUUUUUUCCUUUUUUCCUACUGAUAUAUGUAUACCAUUAUUUCUAUAAUUUAUUUUAUUAUUGUAAUUUUUAUGCUAUUACAACUUUUGUGUUGCAAUUACUUAUUAAUUAGUUAUCAGUUUUUAUAGUACUUCCUUUGUUUCAGUUUUCAUUUCCUUUAUAAAUUUAUCUUCUCUUUAUUUUCCAUGUGUGUGGAAAGAAGCAUAGUUUAGAAAAGCAAAGAGAAUGUGGCGAUGUCCACUGGGAGAUGGCAGUGAGGAUGAGAGAUUUAGAUCACUUUCAUUCCACUCCUGUCCAGAUAUUGCCUUCGAUACAAAAUAGUUUUAAGGCAAUGCCAGGUUCAAUAUUAUGAAUGUUUAGAAUGCAAGAGAAUGAGUAUCUAUUAGUUUUGCUUGGAUGUAUGCAAAGAUAUUAGUACACCAGUCAUUUAUUUGUUACAAGAAACUGAAAAUGUAUGCAGGCGAUACUUGGAAUUCAUAAUUUAUAUAAGAAUAAGCUUGCAUUGCCAAAGUCCAAGAUCCCACAUCUCUGUGUGUAUAAAGAACACAAACAUUUAGAAUAUUAACCUUGAGCAUUAUAACAUAUUGCACAUACACUUUUAGAAUGAAUGGUAUGAUGUGAUAAGUGUUCUUAUCACUCACUGAUUACAAUUAAAGAACGAUUCCACCAGCCACCACUAAUAGGAAUUUUUACCAUUCUUGUACAAAUACUUUUUGUAUCCAUUAUGAUCGGAGUUAUAUUUCGACAUUCACUACAAACUGGUAAACUUUUGUGUUGAGGGAGUUAUAACUUCAUAAGUAUUCUAUAAUCUCAAACUUUAAUGUGUACACGCGUCUGUAUUGUUUUAUUGUGUUUGAAGAGAAGUAAUCAAUAAAUGUCAACUUUGAGCAAGUGC